rnacentral:rRNA from 1 species
GUAGGGUCCAAGCGUUAAUCGGAAUUACUGGGCGUAAAGCGUGCGCAGGCGGUUGUGCAAGACCGAUGUGAAAUCCCCGGGCUUAACCUGGGAAUUGCAUUGGUGACUGCACGGCUAGAGUGUGUCAGAGGGGGGUAGAAUUCCACGUGUAGCAGUGAAAUGCGUAGAGAUGUGGAGGAAUACCGAUGGCGAAGGCAGCCCCCUGGGAUAACACUGACGCUCAUGCACGAAAGCGUGGGGGGGAACAAACAGGAUUAGAUACCCUGGUAGUCCACGCCCUAAACGAUGUCAACUAGUUGUUGGGGAUUCAUUUCCCUUAGUAACGUAGCUAACGCGUGAAGUUGACCGCCUGGGGAGUACGGUCGCAAGAUUA